UGUUUGAUUAGAUAUAACCAUGUGUACGAAAUUAAAGACUUGUCUUCGUAGAUUGAAAAGGCCUCACUUCAACACCAUCAUCAUCAAUGCCCUCAUCAAGAAUCUCCACUCACCCUGCUUCGAGAUUUGCAUGUCCCAAAAUAUCUCAUACUUUCUCUUCCUUAAAUAGACCCUUUCCCUCUCCUCGUACUAUACAUACUUGUUCACUCUUCUCUUCUUCCUCCUUCGUUUCUCUCUGUCUCUUUGAAGACAUUUUUCUUUGCUAGAGGCCCUGGCCCUCUAUAAGUUCUUUUAUGUAUAAAUAUAAAUUUUUUCUAGCUUGUUAAUACAGUGUUUUUGUCAAUAAGCAAUGGUAUGCUAUUAGGGCUACAUUGCGUUCUCUUCCCUUGACAAAUAUCUCAGUUCUCAAUAAAUUAGAUGUAUGCAGUUCUUUUUCUAUUGUUGCAUUAUUUAUGUUAACUUUGCUAUGCCUCAAACACAAGCAUGCGUGUGAUUACAUAUUGUCUGUGAUGAGCAAAUAGAGUCUGUUGAAUUUAGUAUUGUUCAUGUGGGUGAUGAAUCAUUUGAGGGUAGCCGAAGGGGCUCGCUUCAGUCCAGUCCGAGGCAGUGAAAACGGCUGAGACUCAGCUGCUGACUCGUUGGUUCAAGAGCUCACCAUCAAGGUAAAUAUCAGUCCAUGCAACAGUAAAGGUGGUGUGCUUCUGAUACAACGAUGCGGGAGCUGCAUCCAGUUGUGACUGUCACGUCUUGGACUGAAGGGGCCUCUUCAGCUCCUUUUAUCUAUUUAGCUCCUGUUAGUUUUCUGCCAAAAUCAUAUUUUAUUGAAUGCAGUUCGUUCUGGAUGAAAAAGUUUUGAAAUACUAUAAUAAACCGGUAUCUUACUAUAUGGUAAAACAAGUUUUUAUCCUUUAACCUUUCUACCUUCUUUGUUGUAGUAGAGUGACAAUCCUUACUCUAUGAUAAACUGAACUAUUUUAACUGUGCGUGAUCUUGAUCCGUUAACCAGUUAUGUUCUUUAAGAAACUGUGUAAAUAAUGGUCAUCUACGAAAGUACUAGCAAGGCUCCUAGUGGAUCAACAUUGUUCGCUUAGCCACUGAUGCUUCUGAAAGGGAGAAAUUUCCUUUGAAGGAUUUGGUAGGCGAAGCAGUAUGUGCAAUUUCAUGGAUCACUAGAUAUGUGUGUCUAUACUAAGUAUGGUCAUUUACAAGUUUAAUUACUUUAGUUUUUCAUUCAGUGACAUGCAAAUUAAAUUUGUAAUAGGGUAUAUAUAUGGUUGUGCGGGAGAUCUAUUUGCCCAAUAUUUGUCCUCAAGAGAGACUUGAUAGAUAUAUUGAAGUCGACAUGUUGAGAUACUUUUAUUUAUCAAGUCCAACAAUUGUAUCUUCUGAAAGGUGACAGUUGUUUGUACACAUUUUUCUGAAAUGGAGUAGAAGCGGCUGAGCAGAUGCAAUGGAUGAAGAUGGAAUCCAAAUCAGUUCAUGCGAAGAUCACACUAAUUAUGAAGGAUUGAAUGACUGUUAAGGAGAAGGGAGAAGUUUGUAUGGAUAUUGAAUCAAUGAGAGAAUAUGAAAAGAGCAUUGUUUUCAUUAAUGCUGUAUUAUGUUGUUUUUAGUUGUAAUUUGUAUCUCUUUAAGUUGAAUAAUUUAAAGCUGUAUUCUUGUAAA